rnacentral:rRNA from 1 species
CCUACGGGUGGCAGCAGUGAGGAAUAUUGGUCAAUGGCCGCAAGCCUGAACCAGCCAAGCCGCGUGAAGGACGAAUGUCCCAAGCAUUGUAAACUUCUUUUGUCAAGGGACAAAAUCAGGCUCGAGAGCCUGACCGAGGGUACUUGAAGAAAAAGCAUCGGCUAACUCCGUGCCAGCAGCCGCGGUAAUACGGAGGAUGUGAGCGUUAUCCGGAUUUAUUGGGUUUAAAGGGUGCGUAGUGGGACUGUUAAGUCAGCGGUAAAAGCUUGGGGCUCAACCCAGGAGAGCCAUUGAAACUGGCUGUCUUGAGAUGUCGAGAGGUAUGCGGAAUGCGCGGUGUAGCGGUGAAAUGCUUAGAUAUUGCGAAGAACUCCGAUUGCGAAGGCAGCAUAC